rnacentral:rRNA from 1 species
AGUGAACGCUGGCGGUAGGCCUAACACAUGCAAGUCGAACGGCAGCACAGGAGAGCUUGCUCUCUGGGUGGCGAGUGGUGGACGGGUGAGGAAUACAUCGGAAUCUACCUUUUCGUGGGGGAUAACGUAGGGAAACUUACGCUAAUACCGCAUACGACCUUCGGGUGAAAGCAGGGGACCUUCGGGCCUUGCGCGGAUAGAUGAGCCGAUGUCGGAUUAGCUAGUUGGCGGGGUAAAGGCCCAACAAGGCGACGAUCCGUAGCUGGUCUGAGAGGAUGAUCAGCCACACUGGAACUGAGACACGGUCCAGACUCCUACGGGAGGCAGCAGUGGGGAAUAUUGGACAAUGGGCGCAAGCCUGAUCCAGCCAUACCGCGUGGGUGAAGAAGGCCUUCGGGUUGUAAAGCCCUUUUGUUGGGAAAGAAAAGCAACCAGUUAAUACCUGGUUGUUCUGACGGUACCCAAAGAAUAAGCACCGGCUAACUUCGUGCCAGCAGCCGCCGUAA